rnacentral:rRNA from 1 species
UGCAUAUCCAAAAAGCGGAGGAAAAGAAACCAACAGGGAUUGCCUUAGUAGCGGCGAGUGAAGCGGCAAAAGCUCAAAUUUGAAAUCUGGCGCCUUCGGUGUCCGAGUUGUAAUUUGAAGAUUGUAACCUUGGGGUUGGCUCUUGUCUAUGUUUCUUGGAACAGGACGUCACAGAGGGUGAGAAUCCCGUGCGAUGAGAUGCCCAAUUCUAUGUAAGGUGCUUUCGAAGAGUCGAGUUGUUUGGGAAUGCAGCUCUAAGUGGGUGGUAAAUUCCAUCUAAAGCUAAAUAUUGGCGAGAGACCGAUAGCGAACAAGUACAGUGAUGGAAAGAUGAAAAGAACUUUGAAAAGAGAGUGAAAAAGUACGUGAAAUUGUUGAAAGGGAAGGGUUUGAGAUCAGACUCGAUAUUUUGUGAGCCUUGCCUUCGUGGCGGGGUGACCCGCAGCUUAUCGGGCCAGCAUCGGUUUGGGCGGUAGGAUAAUGGCGUAGGAAUGUGACUUUACUUCGGUGAAGUGUUAUAGCCUGCGUUGAUGCUGCCUGCCUAGACCGAGGACUGCGAUUUUAUCAAGGAUGCUGGCAUAAUGAUCCCAAACCGCCCGUCUUGAACCAACGGACCA